rnacentral:misc_RNA from 1 species
AACGGUCUAUACCUGCGGUACCUGCGGAGGGAUCAUUACAGAGACAUUGCCCUCCGGGGUAAAUCUCCCACCCUUUGUUUAAUUACUGUUGUUGCUUUGGCAGGCCCGUCUGAUGACCACCGGCUUAGGCUGGUCCGCGCCUGCCAGAGAGGACCCCAAAUUCUUUGAUUUUUGUGUUGUCUGAGUAAUAUUAUAAUAAGUUAAAACUUUUAACAAUGGAUCUCUAGAUCGGAAGAGCAC